rnacentral:lncRNA from 1 species
AUGAUAAUCCCCUAUGUCUUAGAGCUUGAAACAGGGAAAGACCCUCAGAGACGUCAGAGCUGUGGAGAGAAGGAAAGGCAUGUAGCUCCAGGUUGGAUCGACCAUUGGGCCAGGCUAUUCAUCAGGAGUUGUCGCCAGAGACCUCUGGAUCACGUGGCUGUGACCCAUGACUCCGGAGAGGCUGUGAGGUGGAGAAACAAGCUCCAAGAGGUCUCAGGCAGUGACGCUCUGCACCACGAGUAAGGAUUUAAUCUCUGCUGCUUUCCAGAAGGCACUGAGGCUGUUUUGUCAGUAUAGCCAAUGCUUGUGUGUGUGAGUGCCUUGGUGUAAGUAUGGAGGCAAAAGGGAGCUGGAAGUUUACCGAAAAAAGUGGAAAAUGGACGAAAAAAGGGUGAGAAUACCUAGAGAAGUUAGGCAAAAGUGUGAUUCUGUGCAGCAAAAUCGGCCCAUGUGCCAUAGGAUGACAGUAUGAAAUGAACAGCUAUAAAAUGUGCUACAGAGUUCCCACUGUAGUGCAGUGAGUUAAGAAUCUGACUGCAGUGGCUCGGGUUGCUGCAGAGGGGCGGGUUUGUUCCCGGCCGGGCUCAGUGGAUUAAGGGAUCCAGCGUUUCUGCAACUGUGGUGAUAGAUGCAACUGCGGCUCGGAUUCAGUCUCUGGCCUGGAAACGUCCAUAUGCUGUGGGUGCAGCCAUAAAAAUAUAUAUGUAUGCUACACUUCAUGAUUUCUCAAAAGAUGGUCAAUGAAAAUUCUUUGGUUGGCAUCCUAGCCACCACUAAGCAUUACUUUUAGCAUAUAUUGUAGUCAGUACACGGAGUAACAAUAAGUCACAACUUUGAGAUAAAGUUAACCUCUAGGACUAAUGAGGAAGCACUAAAAGAUAAUGAGUGAAGUCAGUAAAUUAUUGACUAGGGAGAUAAAGAUGCCCUAAUUUAAUCAAUGCAUUACAUCAGGACAUCUGUAUUAACUUAUCUGAGGCUGACCAUAAUAGGUGUUAUUAACCUGGAGGAAUAGGAAUCAAUUAUAUUUGUGCUUUAUCUAGGGAAGGAUGACUGUUAAUAGGAGGGGAGGGCAGAAUACCACUCUCACAAGCAAGGAGUUAGCAGGAAUUUGGUAAGGUUGGGGGUGGAGGAGGAGGUAACUGGCAGUCAGUGAAGUCCCUAUUAUGGGCCAGGAUGCUUCAUCAGGUGUUAUGGCACCUGGGAAUCCCUGUGCCCUGAUUUCAUGCACUUCAAGCAGCCUCUAAGGGACCUGGAAAACUGGAAGGGGCUAUUGAGAUUGGAGUAAAUGUCUUUGGAAGGAUCUAACCCCCUUAUAAAUUAAUAAACUACCUUCUGGUUUAGAUUUCA